CUGACGUUAGCGGCGGACGGGUGAGUAACACGUGGGUAACCUACCUAUAAGACUGGGAUAACUCCGGGAAACCGGGGCUAAUACCGGAUAAUACAUGAAACCGCAUGGUUUCAUGAUGAAAGACGGUUUUGCUGUCACUUAUAGAUGGACCCGCGGCGUAUUAGCUAGUUGGUAAGGUAACGGCUUACCAAGGCAACGAUACGUAGCCGACCUGAGAGGGUGAUCGGCCACACUGGAACUGAGACACGGUCCAGACUCCUACGGGAGGCAGCAGUC
rnacentral:rRNA from 1 species